rnacentral:rRNA from 1 species
UAAUACGGAGGGUGCAAGCGUUGUCCGGAUUUAUUGGGUUUAAAGGGUGCGUAGGCGGCUUAUUAAGUCAGGGGUGAAAGACUGCAGCUCAACUGUAGCAGUGCCUUUGAUACUGAUGAGCUUGAGUACAGAUGAGGCUGGCGGAAUGGGUGGUGUAGCGGUGAAAUGCAUAGAUACCAUCCAGAACACCGAUUGCGAAGGCAGCCGGCUAAACUGUAACUGACGCUGAGGCACGAAAGCGUGGGGAUCGAACAGGAUUAGAUACCCUGGUAGUCCACGCUGUAAACGAUGAUUACUCGAUGUUCGCGAUAUACAGUGAGCGUCCAAGCGAAAGCGUUAAGUAAUCCACCUGGGGAGUACGCCCGCAAGGGUG